UUUUUAACAUGGCUCAGAUUGAACGCUGGCGGCAGGCCUAACACAUGCAAGUCGAGCGGUAGAGAGAAGCUUGCUUCUCUUGAGAGCGGCGGACGGGUGAGUAAUGCCUAGGAAUCUGCCUGGUAGUGGGGGAUAACGUUCGGAAACGGACGCUAAUACCGCAUACGUCCUACGGGAGAAAGCAGGGGACCUUCGGGCCUUGCGCUAUCAGAUGAGCCUAGGUCGGAUUAGCUAGUUGGUGAGGUAAUGGCUCACCAAGGCGACGAUCCGUAACUGGUCUGAGAGGAUGAUCAGUCACACUGGAACUGAGACACGGUCCGACUCUUACGGGAGGCACAGUGGGGAAUAUUGGACAAUGGGCGAAACCUGAUCCACCAUGCCGCGUGUGUGAAGAAGGUCUUCGGAUUGUAAACACUUUAAGUUGGGAAAGCCAUCUUUNA
rnacentral:rRNA from 1 species